UUGAGUCCAUAAAUGUAUUAUGUAUUACUUUAAACUCUUCGCCAUUAACUUUUGUUUGAGAUCUUUUGGAAAAGUAAUUCCUUUAGGAAAAACAUUGUAAUUUUUGAGGCAAUUCGACUAAAAAUUAAUGGGAAAAAUAAGUAAGUGAUGAUAGGUUAAAUAAAUUAAUGUGAUUAGUGUAUUUAGUCACAAUCGUCCAACUUCUGGUUCAAAGAACAGAUUAUAUCGUUAAUUAUUUUGUGUAUAUAUUUAGAGUACAAUAUAUAUUGAGUAUAUUAGAUAUGGUUUCGAAAAAAUCUUUUGUUGGUUAUUUAUAAUUGUGUAUCAACCAAUUAAAUAUAUAUUUGUUAC
rnacentral:lncRNA from 1 species